GCGGCCGGGGGGUCCCCGCGCGCGCCGGGGCCGUCCCUGCGGUUGGCGGAGCGCCGCGGCCCUGAGGGGACCGCGCGGGCGGGCGGAGCGGGAGGCCUGGCGCGGUCCGAGCCCGGCAGGACGCGGAGCUCUCCCGCCGGCACCGCGGGGCCGCCUCCGGGCCCGGGCUGUAGAACUGGGAGGUGUUUACCGCAGAAAAGGUGUUUGUGUUGGUGGCGGAGCGAGGGGAAGGGAAGGAACCGCUGCGUUGCCCUGUUCGCCUUCCAGCCGGGCCAGGUUGAUGAGCCUACAAAUGCUAGCCAGACGUCCCUGUGGAAACAAACCAAAGGAAACUCUCAGGAAUCCAGGAUGCUUACUGGAAUAAACAUAGAAAUGUGUGCUGCUACAGCAAAGAGGGCAAAUCUUUUCGUGGACAGAUCAAUAGCAACCAGCAGACAGAUUUGCUGUUCCCACGGACUGUGAACCUCUCAGCUUUUUGUCCUACACUGGAUGAAAAUGAACACAUGUCAUUUGUUCCUAUUUUUAGCACCUGCAUUCUCGAUCCAGUAUAAGGAGAGGCCCGAUCAAAGGAAUUGUCUCAAUGUCACCUGGCACAAUCAUCUAAAAAUUGUUUUCGUUGCAAAGGGAAGGGUAAGUAUGUCCUUGUGAUCCAUGAAAACACAGGUUAUUCACUUCCAUUUUACAGCACUCAUUUUCACCAGAAUUCAACAGCUGGUGUGCACAGCCCUAAACACAGCCAGUUUGGGAAACAGCAUCACUACCCACUGCACAUCCCCAGCUCCCCAUACUCUGUGUGUUAAAUAUUGCAUGCCAAUAGGAAACCUGCUGCAAGUCUCCUGGAGCUGCUCUAAAACCUUUGCUCGGAACUCUGAAAGAAACGUCCCCAUUCACAGUGCUUUGGUAGAGACGUUGCAUAUUUCAUCCCUCUUCAAAUAUUUAUAUAUGUACUUCACGUUUGAGUAAAGCUGUCCUUUUCAUCGGAGCAGGAAGAUUACAGCAAAGGGAGGAAUUACCCUAAAUUGGCAAACAUCAUUGUCUAUUAAGUAACACAAGGGUUUGAAAGAAGAAUUGAGUGUCUGGCAGCCAGGAGCUUGGCUCCACUGCACAGGAGAUUUCAUAAUUAUAUGUUUUGAGAUCAACUGUAAAAAAAAAUUAAAACAAAAAAACAAAAAUCAACUAGAGCAGUGUAUCCCGUGACACUGGGUGCUAAGGAGCCUGGAAAAACACGUUGAAGCUAAAAGAGUUGGUUAAUGCUGAAAUGGUCUGCUGCCUUUGGGGGAAAGACAUUUCUCCCUCCUCCCAGUCCCACACCCAGGCCCUGCCUGCUCCUCUGUAAUCAGAGCUGGUUACGGGGCUGCCUUUGGAGACCUUCACAGGGGAGGUUUUUUAAUCCAAAUAUAGUCCUUGAUCCACUCAGCAGCCAGGCCUCAACAGUUGUCUGGAAAAUACCUGGAACCAACACUGGCAUUGCCCACAGCCUGACUGAGAUGCUCCUGCUGUGCUCAGAGCAGCUGUGCCCUAAAAACCCCAGGGGAGGUGAGGUCCUGGGUGGAGCAGGACAGCAGGGACCGCAUCUCAGCACAGAAGUGCAACCUCUCCUGGAUGGCUGCUUGUACUGGGGUGAAACCAAGGGAGGCCUGGAAAAUGUGUGGUUAAAGUUAUUGUGCAGUUUGCUUCCAUGGAAGAAGAAGCAGGGUUUUCAUGUUUCAGGUCUGUAAAUCCAAGUUUUAUGGCAGACACAGCAGUAAAUCAUUGAACCUUUUUUUUCCCCUCCUGAGAAAGACAGCAAAUCCUUUUGACUGCAGCAGCUUUAAUUUGGUCUGAAUCUAGAAUAACAUUUUUGCCUGUGUAUUCAAAAGCACCACCUUCACUCAACAUCAUGAUGCAAAUAAUGAGAUGCAGUGUACAGCCCUUGUCAGGGAGUUGCAGAGCACCAAACAUUUCCCAGGAGCUCGGUACUGGGAAGUCUCAGGGCAUUGGUGUCACAUCACUUGGUGACACAAAUUCUUGUUGCCCGAGUUUUUCCAUAGGUAGCAUGGCACGUCCCAGAUGGCCAGAAAAGAAAAUCUUUUAAAAAGAUUCAACUCUUAUUUUUUAUCAAGUUCAAAAUAGUUUCAGGGUUUUUUUUUUUUUGUCUUGUGUGGGUUUUGUUUUUUUUGUUUUGUUUUUGUUGCUGUUGUUUGUUUUUUGGGAGGGUUUUUUUGUUUUUUGUUUGGUUUUUUUUCUCCCCCAGGCUAUUUAUUCACAGUAUUUGGUGCACUGUAAUAAAAGCUGACCUGGGGACUGCUACGUUCACAUAAAUGGAAGCGAGCUAUGUACUUUGGCCUUUUCUCUAGCAUUUGCCUGUUAAUUAAUAAUUGGUACAUUGCCAGGAGCAAAGAAGUAGGAAUGAGAUUCAGGUUAUAAAAUCUUCAAGGUUAUCUCGCUUUCCCUGCAGCAAAGCAAGAGCGAGGGGGGCGGGACAGAGCCAAGGUGCUGAGAGAAGGGGACGGGCUGUGGGCCACUCGCCCCAGGGGCCAUGUGCUGCAUUCCCAGGGGACCCACAUCCCAGCACUCCUGGAGCUGCCGGCACGGCACGUCCUCCCGCCGCGACGGGAGAGCAGCAGGCCCAGGGAUUUCCCUGUCUGUUGCCGGGAUUCCUGGGUACCUGCCUGAAGCCACCCUUGGGAACGCGGCUGGCUUGUCCCCCACUGCAGCUCAGCCAAGGGGACCAGCGCCCAGCUGGGCAGAAACAUGGAGCAGCCGCUUUCCCUGGGUCUGGCAUGACUGGCAGUCGCUGACAUUAUGGAAGCGCUUGUCCCAGAGCCCUCACACCGUGUCCAGAACGUGCACCCACAUCUCUCAGCCCUUGCCCCAAAAUGUGCACCCACGUCCCCGUGCUGAAAAGGCUGCAGGCACACAGGUACUGAAACACCUCCUCCCCACCUGUGAACACUCUCUUGGCUCUCCGGAAUCAAAACCCUUCCAUAAGGCCAGGACAGCUGGAAUUAAUUUUCUGAGCUGGACUAAAGCUUAUCCAGGAUACCGAUCUGCCUGAUUUUUGUGGACAGAUUGGUGUGGCUAGAGGACACCUGGAGAGCACAGGACAAACCCGAGCAUGCUUCUGUGACCAAAGGGGAUAAGAACAGGAGAUAAGAGACUAAAAUUUAAAUAAUGACUAGAAACUAAGGAUUUCUCCUGUGGCAUGCAAGCUCCUCAACUGCAGUAAGAAAAAAAAUUUAAAGCAAAGGUGACAUGCAAUUCAAGCUGGAGCAUCUCCUUUCCUCCAGGAAUGAGCCUGCUUUUUGCCACCCAAAUGUUUGAGCCUGGAAUUCAGACAAGCGAAGAGCUUUUCCCAGGGUAGGCAGGGUCUGUCAGCAAGGCUUGCCAGCAACACAAGCACAACAUUUCAGUUGUCUCCUCACACAGUCAUUUCCCCACCUUCUGCCCCUGCCACACGCAGGCCAGCCAGCACAGCAAGUGCUACAGAGGUCUUUUGCUCCACUGCCCUUUGCUUUUGUACCUUGGUGAGAUGGGGGAGCUGUGCCUGGCAGGUUCAUCUUUGGCAAAACCACUCAAGUCAAAGAGAUUGGCACAUGUGCUUCAGAAGACCACGGUUUUGGUUUUUUUCCUCUGGAGCAUUGCAGCUUUGCUCUUGCAGGCACGGCAGAAGAGGACAGAGCCUGUGGAAAGGAAGUUGCCCCUGUUGAGCUGUAUGCUGCCAUUUGCAAGCUGUGGGCAGAGCUGCACUGUGCUGGUACUGAUUUGCAUUUGCCAAGAAUAAUUACUCCUGAGCUGCUUGGAUUCAAAUAGUUUCCCUGCUCUGGAAGGACGUACCUGCCUAUUUCAGACACAGGCUGCAGUAACUAACACUCUU